UAGAAGGUUAUCCCAGCAUGGGAUGAUCCCGAGGUAGAUGCGAAGAUGCUCGCGCACUGCGCUACCUGGUGGAGAGGGAAGAGCCAGUGUGGAAGGCUCGGCCGGACUCUCCCCACGGGUUCCCGCUCCAUGAGCGACCCCAGGGAGAGCUGAGAGCCCCAGGCCCCAGGCAUCUACAAGUGACUACAUUUCCCAGAGGUCUGUGCGCAACAGUAGGGGGGGCGGAGCCGCGCCUCUCCUCCCAGCCUCCGGUGUGCCGGCUGUUUUAAUCCAGAAAGCUUCGCCCCCACCCUCCCCACCCCCAUCCCCACCCGGGUCUCGCAAAGCUCCGCAGACGCGAGGGACGAACCAGCGCCGCCCGCGUGUCUGCAGAUCCUUAAACCUGUGCCGGCUCUCCGUGACCUCGAGUCAACUUGCAGGCUCAGUGGGACCUCCCCCUGCUCUUCUACCCUGGCUUCUGCAGCAGCCAAACUGAGCCACUCGAGCGGCUUCAGAGCUUUAACGUCUGGUCUUUGGGAACCUUUUCCACUGUCUGUUCUCCCUCUACCCCCUUGUGCUCACCCUGGACCCUGUCGUCUCAGAAGCAUGAUGUAUGGGGACUACAUCACCUAACCUCUCAGGUUGGUGACCCUGCAAUCAAGGUCUCCGACCUCACCUGAGCUCAGUGGGUUGGGAGAGCACUGAGGGGAGCAGGAGCGGGGAAUCUGCUGCCAAGACCUCCGGCGGGAGUGUAAGGCUUCGGAAGGGCUGUCCUUGUGGCCUUGCAACUCAGGUUCCUCCUAAAAGGGGGAGACAGGAGGGCCUGGCUGACUCAGCCCUGGGAGCAUGACACUCUGGAUCUUGGGGUCUUGAGUUUGAGGCCUACAUUGGGUGUAGAGAUAAAUAAAUGAGCUUUAAAAAAAAAGUAGGGGGCAGCCCUGCAGGCGCAGCGGUUUAGCCCACGUCGGGCUCCCUGCAUGGAGCCUGCUUCUCCCUCUGCCUGGGUCUCUGCCUCUCUUUCUCUCUCUCUCUCUCUGUCUCUAUGAAUAAAUAAAAUAAAAUAAUUUUAAAAAAAAGUAGGGGCACCCAGGUGGCUCGGUGGUUGAGCACCCACCUUUGGCUCAGGUGGUGAUCCCCGGAAUCCUGGGAUCGAGUCCCGCCCGCGUCCGGCUCCCUGCUUCUCCCUCUCUACCUGUGUCUCUGCCGCUCUCUGCGUGUCUCUCGUGAAUAAAUAAAUAAAUUUUUUUUAAAAAAAUAAAUAAAUAAAAAAUAAAAGAGCCUGAGAAUGAAAUGCAAAGCAAAGCUAAAUAUUAGUCGUGAGAAUGCUAGAAUGGCACUUUGGUACGAAAGUGGAAGAUACUGAUGCUCAAACAGAAGUGCUAAGUGGCAUAUAGAGAAUGAAAUGAGAAUCAACAAGAAGACAUAGCGAAGAUGCUAAAUUAAUAUGUUAAUAGAGUUAAAUGAACCCAGAGAGCAGA
rnacentral:lncRNA from 1 species